rnacentral:rRNA from 1 species
UACGUAGGGUGCGAGCGUUGUCCGGAAUUAUUGGGCGUAAAGAGCGUGUAGGCGGCCAAGCAGGUCCGUUGUGAAAACUGGAGGCUUAACCUCCAGACGUCGACGGAAACCGCGUGGCUAGAGUCCGGAAGAGGAGAGUGGAAUUCCUGGUGUAGCGGUGAAAUGCGCAGAUAUCAGGAAGAACACCAAUGGCGAAGGCAGCUCUCUGGGACGGUACUGACGCUGAGACGCGAAAGCGUGGGGAGCGAACAGG